GUGAAUCAUCAAAUUUUUGAACGCAAAUUGCACUUUCUGGUAUUCCGGAAAGUAUGCCUGUUUGAGGGUCAGUUAUAUAAAAAUCGGUGUUGUUGCUGCCUUUCGUGGUGACGCGUCGGAAUAGGGUCGUUUUAACUUUGGUUAAGUGACUUAAAAUUUUUGCAUGAUUUUCGAACUUAUUUAAAUUGCUUACGUACGUUUGAGAUAUAGAAUGCUUAUACGGUUCGGUCAUUCUCAUGAUUCUCG
rnacentral:misc_RNA from 1 species